CCGGAAUCGGGGCGUGAGUCCAGGGCCGGGAAGACAAGAAAGUCACCUCCGGACUACAGUUCCCAGCAUGCACUUCAAGGGCCUCUUUCGACGUGUGCUCUCGGGAAACGUAGUUCGCUGUGGAGCAAGAUUUAAACGUGCAGGUGGCUGUUGAAGUUAAGAGAACUUAGAAAAUUUGAAUUGAACACAGUGAUACCAACAUACAACAGCUGGACUGCGUUCGAAGUAUUUUUUUGGAACUUAGAUGGAACAGGGCCAUAUUCGUGGAAACCGGAGUGGAACUCGUUCUCCCUUUUUCUUGCCCUGACAAAGCAAAAGGAAAGAAACCCCAUCCAGGGCAGAUCAUCUCAAUGCUAGUAUUCGUUUUUAGGAGGCCCACCAGGAACAAGAAGGAAGAGAGAGGUAAAAGGAUCACCUAUCUGCAGCAGCAGAGCUGGUGCAUGGCCAUGAGAAGAGGAGGACGAGUGUUCUCCAUUACCCCCUCCUCCCUCUCCCUACACCCAGGAGUUGUGGCGUUUAUGUGCGCCUGUCUGGGGAUGGGCUGCUGCAGUCAUAAGGAAUGUCCAGGACAGGAUAAAAAAAUUCCUUCCUUGAACUGGAAGGUUUGAAAUAAAGAUAUUUCGUGCUUAUUU
rnacentral:lncRNA from 1 species